GACGAACGCUGGCGGCGUGCCUAAUACAUGCAAGUCGAACGCAGUGGGGACGGGUGAGUAACACGUGGGUAACCUCCCAUCAGAGGGGAUAACACUUGGAAACAGGUGCUAAACCGAUACUGAUGGAUGGACCCGCGGUGCAUUAGCUAGUUGGUGAGGUAACGGCUCACCAAGGCCACGAUGCAUAGCCGACCUGGGGGGGUGAUCGGGCCACCUUGGAACGGGGAACGGGCCAGACUCCUACGGGAGGCAGCAGUAGGGAAUCUUCCGGAAUGGACGGAAGUCUGACCGAGCAACGCCGCGUUAGUGAAGAAGGUUUUCGGGGUGUAAAGCGCUGUUGUUAGAGAAGCGGUAACUAACCAGAAAGGGACGGCUAACUACGUGCCAGCAGCCGCGGUAAUAC
rnacentral:rRNA from 1 species